CGUUGUAUACGAAAUUCUCAGUGUUUGCCGCUCUAAUAUGCGAAAUUGCGCCUGCAUAAUGGGAAUUGCCCAGCUGACUUCGUCCAUAAACUGUCAAGCUUCAGUCAAUAGGUCCAUUAGAUCCAAGAGCAGUAAUUGAAAAUAAAUAACAAAAUGGAAUUUUCACUCACUUCCCUGCUCUAUAAAAACACCUCAAAUUAAGUUUGAAAGCACACUGUUUCUAGAUUCGCUUUCGCGCACAGGUCGUACCAUCUUCGCGAUUUAAACUCAUCUCUUCAAUAUGAAGGCUGCUUUCGUCGUCCUAGUUCUUCUUGUUGUCGCCCUUUAUCCACAAGACUCUGCGGGCUUUACUGCUGGCAUUGGAAACGUUGGGAAACGAGAACUUAACAGAUCCGAGAGAUCAGCUUUCAACAACCUCUGCCGAAUUGCCAUGGAAACCUGCAUGGGAUCUGCCAAGCGCGAUGAAAUUCUCAAUCGGAAGUGAAUCAACCAGAAGUGGACCACUGAAUAUCUUGAACAGAAAUAACAGUUAUAGGCCGCCUUGCGAAUGUCUCAAACUACUCGACGACACAUGGCAGCGAUUUAUUUUAGAGCAGAGAAAAAACAAGGACGAGUUAUAUUUCCAUAUAUGCAAAUUUGACAAGUGCAUUUGAUGAGCCCGCUAAAUAUUGCGAUUUGUUGACAAUUUUUAUUUAGAUGUGUACAGAUAUUCAAUAAAUUAUAACAUGGCCAGUUGA